ACUCAUUCUUCGGCCAUCUUGUGAAUGUUUUUGAAACAGGAGGCCAUUGUCUUUUAUGGCGAAAUAGAGAAAUGACGCGGAGAAAGACAGACAGACAAGAGGAGCUCCGGGUGUUUAAAGAAAAUUGACGUAUGGAUCUUAAGCUAGACUUGGAACCCAACGUUUCGCUUCUCAAAAUGGGAGACAGCUCGUUGCCAGGCUCACCGACAAGCAGUUUUCUCAAUCGACGUGAAGAAAGUAAGACAAGGAACAAGUGAGGAAAUGACGUGAGGAGAGAAAUGCGGAAUUUCAUAAAGAGAAAAAAAAAAGGAAAAAGAAAAUUGGAGAAGGCUGAGACAGAGAUUAAAUGUGAAUAUGCAAGGGACACGGAAAA